AUUGAAGAGCAAGAAUAACCAUCGAGUUAUUGGACUUUGAGCUAAGAUGAAUGUUUAAAUCCUGAGGACUAGGCGCUAAAUAACAGCUGACGCAGGUGCUACGCAGAAGUGGAUUCAGUGAAGCUAGGAAGACAGGAGCGGCAGACAGGAUUCGGAGCCAGUGUUGGUGAAAACUAGGACUGAGGAGCCAGCGGCAGUUCGUGAAGAUAGGAAAGAGAAGCCCGGGAGCCAGUGCGACUUGGUGAAGGAAGCUAGGAAGAAGGAGCGAGUCCUAACGAUUUGGAGGUGAAGCUAGGAGAGGAUUCCAGGAAGGAGGAAGCCAGUGCGGUGUGGUGAAGCUAGCGUGCGGCUUGGCUUGGCAACCACGCGGAGGCGGCGAGCAGGCGGAGUGGAGGAUAGAUAGAGGAUCCUAGAGCAGCAGACCAGUGUACGAGCCCCGCAGGGAGAGCCAGUGGUGUGGUAAAAAUCCGUGAAGUCGGCACUAUCGUGGGUUUUUUUUCCUCCUGUAACUCAGUAUGGUAAUAUCUCUUAUUAAAUUUUCCUAAUAGUAAUGGGGGAGUUGUGUACUUAAGCAUAAAGGGGAUUUUAUUACGGGGAUGUAGGCCGGUUUUCGGGUGUCGUAGGUUUCUCUUUUUCAGGCCUAUUUUCUCAUGCAUCUUGUCUGGAGCUUUUGAGGGCAGACUUCAAGGCCCGGAGGAAUGGUAGAUGGCAAGUGUUCUUGUUUUUAACCAAUAUGAGGGAUGUCCUGAAUUUGGUAGAACAACUGUGAGACAACUUCAGCAAGCUUUGUAAACAGGUUUUAUAUUCAGUUUGGGGGUAAUGAAGCAUUUCAGUUUCGUGAGUAGAGGGCCUACUUUUCUUUCCUCACCCUGUAUUUUAAAAGUCUUCUAAAUAUGUAGUUUCGGUGUAUAAUUCUGGGCGGGGGGAGUUUUUUUGGGGGGGGAGCAAAAUAUGUUUUGAGUUCUUUUCCCUUUAGGUCUGUCUAGAAUUCCAAAGGCAAAUGACUCGAGGUAACAGGCGAAAAGAAAAUCCAAUAUCAGGAUAAUCAGAACACUGCAGGUUUACAGUUAUAGAAACUCUAGCACAAGCAGCUUUCACUUUGAGGUCUGUGGCGCAGCUGUCCAUUGGAGUAAUGGCUGGUAGUUUAUUCUUUUUUUCCCCACCCCUUUAUUAAAUAUUUUUAUAAAGUACGUAACUGGUUAUUUUUACUUAAAUAUUUUGGGGUGGUGUGAACAGGGAAGAGGGUGGGGGAGAAACUUUUUUUUUCUAAGAUUUUCCACAGAUUCUAUAGUACUAUUGACAAUCUGAGUUAGAGAAGGAUUGUACUGCUACGCUGUUUGGCACCAACACCUUCAGGGAUUGGAGCAGCUUUUUUCCUUGGAAGAGUAUUCCCAGUGAAGCUGAAAUGUACAGCCCAGUGCAGCUUUGGUUCAUAUUCAGUCAUCUCAGGAGAACUUCAGAAGAGCUUGACUAGGCCAAAUGUUGAAGUUAAGUUUUCAAAUAACGACUUUUAAGAUACCUUUAUUAAAGGGGAGGGGCAAAUUUUGGCGAUUUGUAGUUGGCAGUGGCUUGUAAUGAUUGGGAUGGGGGGGGCGUGGGUUUAGGUAAUUGUUUAGUUUUUGAUUACAGAUAAACUCAUGCCAGAGAACUUAAAUACUUAAGGUGGAAAAACUAAAGAAAUCUCAACUUCCAAGUUGGCAAGUAACUCGAAAUCCUCUGGUUCUGUUUUGCCCCAAUUUUUGAAUUUAACAGAUGGGGAAGUUGAUGACGAUUCACUGGAUUUAAAAGAGUAGGGCUUGGGAAAGGAAAAUGACUGGGGGUUGGUCUGGCCCUCUGCGCUGACUUAGAUAAAAACUUGGGGAAUUUUUUUUUAAAUGGUAAAGUUCGGAUAUAGUGUGUGGUUCUCUCUUGGAAUAUUUUUCAGGUGAUUUAAUAAAACUUAAUACUACUAUAGGAGCUUCAGAGCAAAGGAGGUGGCUUAAUGAUCCUGAAGGGAUUUCUUCUGGUGGUAGCUUUUGUAUUAUCAAGUUUUUCUUCAUUAUCAGAAGAGUUGCUUCAUUUCAUCUGGGAGCAGAAAACAGCAGGCAGCUGUUAACAGAUAAGUUUAACUUGCAUCUGCAGUAUUGCAUGUUAGGAAUAAGUGCUUACCUUUGUGAAGAGCUGUGGAAGUCCUAGGUCCCUUACCUAAGGGAUUCCAGGAUUGUGAGGCAUCGUCCCAUCCAGCCUUUUAAAAUUAGACAGGACAGCGUUCCUGUGGGCUUUGAUGAUGGGACAGCACAUUUCAUUCAAGAGGCAAGUAAUUCCUUAAAGCCUCUUGAGAUUAGCAAAGAUAAUGUUUAUAAAACUAAGAACAUUUGUUUAGCCUUGAAUCUGACAGCCCUAUUUAAGGGAUAGUAUUGUACUGUUAAGAAUUCAGAUUUUGUUAAUCUUGCUAAAAUUCAAAUGUUACGUGUAUUGUGCAGAAAACCAUUAAAUCAUUCAAAAUAAAAUACUUUUAUUUUUAGAGAAUGUAUGCUUUUAGGAAGCUGUCUCCUUAUUUAAAUAAAACAUUGUUUGUCUGUAGUUAGUGUUGGGGCAAUCUGGGGGGGGUUUCUUCUCAUCUUUCAGAAACUUUGUCUGCGAACACUCUUUAAUGGACAAGAUCAGGAAAUUGAGCAGAAGAACGAAUUUAAUUUAAGGCAGGAAAAAAUUUUGUCCUUCGUAAAAGUGAUGAGCAUUUAAUAAUUCCAGGCACAUGGCAAUAGAGGCCCUCUAAAUAAGGAAUAAAUACCUCUUAGACAGGUGGGAGAUUAUGAUCAGAAGAACAGGUAACUUAACUCCUACAAUGUUUGCAGAAAGUCAGGAGUCUGUCUAGUGGUUAAACUAGA
ensembl:lncRNA